rnacentral:lncRNA from 1 species
CAAGACUUGAAUAUAGGUAGGUUUCAUAAAAAAAUGCAUUAUUUUGAGCAAAAAGGUGAGAAAAUUACAUUUUUAUCAAAAACUACAUCUGGAUAAUAUUCAGUACGAUUAUCAAAGCAUAAAUCCAGUAAAUCGCUUCCAUCAAUACCUCCAAAGCUUGCACAGACAUAUACCACUUCCUGGAUCAACAUUUUACUCCGUAACAUUAUGCAGUUUUCAUUUAUAUGCUGUCUAUUGCUGAUGAUCGCAUUAUUUUUCAUAUGCAUCUGUUUACAUAAGAGAUCGCUAGUUUCUCCGUCCUGUUCACGUGUGUUUUUGUUUGGGAGGUUUUGUACUCAUUCAGAAGAUGCGUAAUAGCACCCACCGAGUGUAUAACAGUGAAAACACGAAAAGUCGUCUUUGGCGGGGGAAGCGUUUUCUUGUAAAAGACGAGAUAACUCGUCAAUGGCGGGGAAAGAGUUAAAAAUGUGGUAUUUUUUUUCCAUUUAAACCUGGAAAUAAACUAAAUGUAUUAGGGUUUUGAAAAAUUUAAACCAACAUUUGAUUGAAUUAGAAUUAAAAUGAGAAAGAAUGCAAAACUGAAGCACUUUCAGUAGUCUUUAGUCCCUUUUAAUGCAUUUUUAUGUGCAGUCCAUUGCAUAGAGUUAUGAAAUACAGGCACCUCCCAAGAAGGCAAGUUGUAUUUAAGGUAACAUCAAUUAUUAGUGGUGUACAUGGGUCAAUAACUCUUCAAUCUGUACUUUACAAUGCUGCUGAUCUCAACAGAAACGCCGUAUUGUCAACGCCUGUGCUGGAGGACAGGCCAAAAUGUUGCCCAUCACCGUCCGCAACAUGCCCUCAAUAAGCCCUCUAAUCCUAAAGCGCCUCAAGGGCGAGCCCGGAGCUCAAGGACCACCGGGACCUCCUGGCCCCCCAGGGACUCCAGGCCUAACUGGUACUAGCGGGCCCCCGGUAAGUCACUGAAAAUCAUCUGCAUCAGGAAAUGUUUUCUACAGAACUCAUGCUCGUUGUUAAUCAAAUAUGUUACAUGGUUUUCUGGAGUAAAUAAUUCUGAUUGUUCAUUUAUGGGAUUAUGCAGUCAAAUGUUUUUGGUAUAAUAACCAUUAUACUGUAUAUUUGUAUAAGUCAGUGUCCCAG